GACGAACGCUGGCGGCGUGCUUAACACAUGCAAGUCGAACGGAAAGGCCUGUCCUUCCUUGUGUUGGACGGGUACUCGAGUGGCGAACGGGUGAGUAACACGUGAGUGAUCUGCCCCCAACUUGGGUAUAAGCCUGGGAAACUGGGUCUAAUUCCCGAUAGGACUGCAGGGUGGUGCCUGUGGUGGAAAACGAUUUUCUAGUGGUUGGGGAUGAGCUCGCGGCCUAUCAGCUUGUUGGUGGGGUAAUGGCCUACCAAGGCGGCGACGGGUAGCCGGCCUGGGAGGGUGGACGGCCACAUUGGGACGGAGAAACGGCCCAGACUCAUACGGGAGGCAGCAGUGGGGAAUAGUGGACAAUGGGCGGAAGCCUGAUGCAGCGACGCCGCGUGGGGGAUGACGGCCUUCGGGUAGUAAACUCCUUUCGACCGCGAGGAAGCCGCCUGGUUGGAAGGGUGGUGACGGUAGUGGUAGAAGAAGCACCGGCUAACUACGUG
rnacentral:rRNA from 1 species